UGCGUAGGCGGCGUCGUAAGUCAGAAGUGAAGGCUCACAGCUUAACUGUGAAAUUGCUUUUGAUACUGCGGUGCUUGAAUUAGGUUGAGGUUAGCGGAAUGUGACAUGUAGCGGUGAAAUGCAUAGAUAUGUCAUAGAACACCAAUUGCGAAGGCAGCUGGCUAGGCCUAUAUUGACGCUCAGGCACGAAAGCGUGGGGAGCGAACAGGAUUAGAUACCCUGGUAGUCC
rnacentral:rRNA from 1 species